UCACAUUUCCCUUCAUCUCCUCUAAAGCCUAACCCUAGCCACCCCAAAUUCCCACACCCCACCGGCCGGCGGCGAUGCUCCAAAUCGGCCCAAACUGUCACCAUACAAUCACCAUUCCCCCAUCUUUCCAAAUCCAUCACUAGUUUUCCCUAAAUCCCCACCAAAUCCUUUUAAUUUCGGAUCUAAAAUCCAGAAAACCUAAUUUGUUUUUCCCCUUUUCUGGUUUCUUGGCUCAUGGCCAUUCGUUGUGACAUAGAACCUACAUCAAUGGAUGGUUCUGGACAAGAACAAUCAAUUAACGUUGGUUGUUGUUCAUUUCGAAGUCGUUGAGUUUGGAUCAGUCCGCCUUAUCGGCUAAAUUCCUGAGGCUUUGAGGGUCGCCGGAGUUUUGUAUUCUGACCAAGUUGUUUUGAAUCCAUUAGGUAUUUUCUACUCCUCUUCCUAUUUUUUUCCUAGAAUCAGUGUAUUUUUACAGCAUGCAUGGAGUAAUGGAGAAUGUUUUAGCCUUUCUUUUCUUUUAGAUAAUCACUCGAUUUUAGGUUCUAUUUGGAGUUUGGUCAAUUAACUAGUUCAGUUAUUUGCUGAUUGUGAUUAAGCAUUGGAUAAUUUGAUUAGUUGUUUGUUAACAAUUACUGGUUCUGUGAGAUAAAAAGGGCAGUGAAGUAGGAUAAUUACCCUGUUUGGUAUCGGUUGGAAGUUUGGGGGUGAAAGAGGUAAUAAACAAAAUUUUAAAGGGGGAAAUUAAUUAGGAAGUAAAAAUAAGGAUUCUUGGGUGUUUGUUUAGGAAAGUUCUAGAAAAGCCAGCUGUCCAGAAUUGUUUUAAAAAAUAUGUGAAAAUAUCUGGAAUGGGCAGCUGUCCCAAUAGCUGACUAUUUUCUGUUUUAAAAGAUGCUUUUUUCCUAAGUUUUAGGGACUGACAUUUUGAGAAUUAUUCCCUGAUUUCUUAGGGCACAUAAUAGAUUUCAUCCAAUAUAUAUAGGACCUUUCUUCUUGCUUGAAAGCACUGGAAAAAAUUGGGAUAAGGAGAGACGUACAAAACUUCAUUUUUCUGCAUAUAGAUAGAUUUUGGACACAGGAAAAACACCCAAAAAAGUUCAGAAUCCCUCUAUAUUUCAGUCUUCAAAUUUUCUGGUUUCGAAGCUUUGUCUUGGGCUUUCAUUCUUCUGUUGAUUCAUUGUUGUGUGUUGUUGUUUAUUGAGCUGUAGCUGGGCUUUUGGUUCUGUUGUGGUUUAUUCUUUAGAAAUCAGAGACUUAUUUUCUUAUUCUUUGAUGUGUUGCUAUCAAGGUAUUAAGUUUCGAUCUCUUUCUAUGUAUUAAGUGUGUUAGAAUGCUAUAGUUUUGAGAACUUGCACUUAUGGUCUACUUAUAUGUUAAUGAAUUUCUCUUGUAGUAGUUCGCCAUCUCUGAGUUCAAAUGAAUUUACAUUUUUGUUUAUUUUCCGUUUUUAAUCAAUUUUUGACUAAGUAAUUAAACACAUAGAAGCUACUGUGAAUCUGGAGGGAAUCAUACAUGCUACAUUAAUCUUGUUCUUUACAGCUGUUGUGAUUUAAGGAGUUUGCACGAUAGUAUGUCAAAAUGUUCAUUGAUCAUUAGUGAAAAAAUGGAAAUUGUAAUUAAGACUUGUCAGGAUAAGUGAAGCAGAGAAUGUUGCUCAGUUCAAGCCUUCAUGUUUCUGAUUAACUGGAUCUGGAUGUUUGAAGGAGGGCGUGAAGUUGUGCACAAAAUUGGCCUAACUCGAUUGUUUUAAAUUGAAUCCCAAAAUAUGAUGAUGAUAUCUUUCUAUAAUUAUUAUUCUGUGUACAGAAAACAAACUAUUCAUGUUCUAACUUAUUCAUUGUAGUAGUCAAUCAAUAUGUAAAUAAUUAUGACUCUGUUUCUAUUUUCUAAAAAUCCAGCA
rnacentral:lncRNA from 1 species